GCAGCCGCGGUAAUACGUAGGUGGCAAGCGUUGUCCGGAUUUACUGGGUGUAAAGGGGGCGCAGGCGGGAAGCUAAGUUGGAUGUGAAAUACCGGGGCUCAACUCCGGAGCUGCAUCCAAAACUGGUUUUCUUGAGUGGAGUAGAGGCAAGCGGAAUUCCGAGUGUAGCGGUGAAAUGCGUAGAUAUUCGGAGGAACACCAGUGGCGAAGGCGGCUUGCUGGGCUCUAACUGACGCUGAGGCCCGAAAGCGUGGGGAGCAAACAGGAUUAGAUACCCC
rnacentral:rRNA from 1 species